GUGUGCCACAACUAAGACCCAGCGCAGCCAAAUAAAAUAAAAUAAUGUCUACCGGCUGCAAGGGAAGCAGUUGUAGGUCAGAAUAGCAUGCCUCCGCAUCCCAGCUUCUCUGCCUACAUCACCCCAGCUGGCAGCCAAAGCAGCAGCAUCUUUUGACCCUGUAACCUGUACUCAAGCACUUGUCUCUUAUCAGAAAACAUCAAAUGACAAGAGAGGUGACUCAAGCCAAGGAUUCCAGUGUCUGGUCCUAUUAGUGGAUGAACCAUCUUACUGGAUGAACUGUAGCUCUGUGCAACCUUCACUGAUGUUUGGAAUGAGGACCCUGAGAUACAUACCAUGCUGCAUCAUUGAGAAAGAAUCAGACAAGAAAUCCACCAGUUUUUACAGGUUGGGCACAUUCUUGCAGAGCCAAGCCCGGGGGAUGCUGCUCUUUGAUUUGCUGCUUCACACAGUUAUUUCAGAGAUUUUUGGUAAUUCAUCUUCACUCCUGAUCGCUGUAUGUUGGCCUAGUUUAUUGCUCCUGCCUGAUUCCCAGCAAUCCAUAAAGCUCUCCCUUCAUAUUUUUCCCUGUCUAAUCCACUCUUCAUACUGCACAGAGUGAUUUUCCCCUGUCUAAUCCACUCUUCAUACUGCACAGAGUGAUUUUCCUAAGACACAAAUAUGUGAUGUCCCUUUACUUAAAAUCCUUCAAAAUCAGGUCCAAAUUUCUUCCCAGGAUGCAACCUGGUGGUGCGAUUCCUAUGCAGAUCACCUGAAGUUUGCAGACUUACAGGUUGAGGGCACUGUCCCUGAUAAGACUGCUCUCCUUCAGAUUCCAGUCACAAGUUCAGGGGCCCCCAGCCUACCUGCACUUCUGACCAACUGGCUACAAAUUCAGGGGUGCCCUCAACCACCUAGAGCAACUCAUAAAACUCUCAAGAAAGUACUAUACUUACAACUACAGUUUUAUUAUAAAGGAUGCAAAUCAGGACCAGCCAGAUGUAGAGCCUCUGUGCACUUUCCUAGUAGACUCAGGAUGCACCCUCCUCCUUGCACAUUUGAUGUAUUUGUCGACCAGGAAGCUCACUGGAGUCUUGGGGUCUCGAGUUUUAUUGGGGUUUCAUUACAUAAUAUGAUUGAUUGAAUUAUCAGCCAGGUGAUUGAACUCAGCCUCCAGCCUCCUUCCACUCCCUAGAGGUUGGCUGGCUCAAAGCCCCAACCCUCUAAUCACAUGGUUGAUCUUUCCAGCAUGACUGGUCUAAGUCAUGACAGUCAUGCUGGAAAGUCAUCGCGUUAGCAUAAACACAGGUGUGGUCAGGGGCCACCAUGAACAGCAAAGGAUCACUCAGUAAAUGCCAAGGAUUUAGUGUUUACCACUGAGAGACACAAGGACCAGACAAAUUCUUUACUGUUCAACACAGGGCAUCAGGGUUCUUCAGGACGUGACCCCAGCCUCUCUCACUUCACUGCAGCUACACAGCCCUGGUUGAGAGUCCUUGAACACACCUUGCUGUUUUAGAAACUGGACUUCUGCACAUGCUAUUUCCUCUGUCUACCUCUGUUUUCUCCUUUGUCUAGCCAGGGAACUCCUUCUUAUUUGUCAAGACGUAGGUGAGCAGUUCCACCUCUGUGGAGCCCUCCCAGGCAGAGUUAAUCCCCACCUCCCCAGCUGCUAGUACUCCUUGUUUGUUUAUAGAUUAUCUUUGCACUUUGUUUGUUGAGAUGUCUGUAUGUCCUGUUGGCACGUAAUGUAGUGACUGCCGAGUGAAUGUUUCAUGGAGUUUUGCCUACAUUAUUUGAAGUUAUAUUUGUCUUUUUAGAAAGUGUCCUCUUGCCCUUUUUUGCUGCCAUGUUCGCCACGUCACCCUUCAUGCUCCAGCACUGUGGCAGUUCCUCAUUACAAACAUCCUUUCUUGGCUACUGGUGGAUGAGCUACCACUUAAGAUCUUGUUGCUGACAAUCCUGCCCGGCCAUUCAUGUUUUGGAAAACUCACGGGUAACACUGAUGAGAUGACACAAGAAGUAAGGUUUGUGAAAUAUCUAGAAGUAGAAAGUGGUUAAGUAGAAUAUUUCAUUGGAUGAAAUAUUAUGCAUCUAAUGCAUAUUUAUGAGGUUUGUAGUAAAACCGAGAAAUGCUUAUAUAGAAUAUUAGGAGGAAAAGUCAUCACAGUUAUGAUGAAAAAAUAUACCCAUAAACUAAGACCCCAAAAAGACAUAAAAGAACGAAAGAAAAGGCCUCUGUAGAAAUACUCCAAAAUAGUAUUUGUCUUUGGGUAAUGAAAAUAUGGGCAAUUAUUCCCCAUCUUCUUUAUACUUUCCAGUGUUUAAAACUUUUUUUUUUUGUAUCAAGCACGUAUUGCAUGCUUAAAAUGGUAGGAGGGGAUAAUUCCUCUCUGUACUCCUAAAUAGGUGGGCACAAGGUGAAACCAAUUUAAUUUAGAUACUUUCAUUUGCAACUGGAAAUUUACAGGUGAAAAAAAAUGCACAUUUUUGUUCUUUUUGGCAAUGAGAGGAGGCAGUGAAAAGAGAGGCAAAGAUGGGAAUAAGAAGGGGAGGAGAUAAACCAGCCACGCUUGCCCCAUACUUAAAAGACAUGCUGCCACAAGCCAGGAGAAUCACAGGGAGAGAAAAGUUAAUAGGAAAAAGGAGUUUUUGAGUGGAAACUGGGACCAACCAGUUCUUAAAAAUGUCACUUUCCUAGUCAAAAAAGGCAGCCUGACUAGUGGGGAUUUAACUAUUUGCUUGUUAAAAAUUACUUAAAAAAAUAAAAGGCUUAUGUUUUUUCACUGAUCCCUUUCAUUAUCAGUAUAACUUAUAAAAAAUAUCACUUUCUGGAAGAGUCUAAUCAUAACAGAGACUGAAAGUUCAGGGCAUUUUGGGAAGAAAGGCUAGUUUAAGAGUAAGCUACACAAGAAAAUUCAUUUAACCUUUUCAAACUCUGGUUAUAAUCCCUUUUAUCCAAAGCUCUUAGGCAACGCCCUCAGCCUGACCACAUAACCUUCCUUAUAGAAGAGUAAACCUGAGUUUCCUCCUAGAGACUCUUCUAAAUGCUAACAUCAUUACUAAGCGUUGUUGCUGACACUCUUCCGUAAUUUCUGCACCACUUCUCAAAACUUUACAUAUUUCAGACAGAUUCUUGAGUAUGUGAACUGCGAUUAGGCAUAAAUAGGCCACUUUAGCCAUGACUGAAGAACAGUUGCUCAGGAUUGUGUCCACUUAUUAAGGCAUUCCAACCUAAGACAUGCCAUCCUUCUUCCUCUUAAAAAAAAAAAAGGGAAAGCAGAUCACAGCAAUGAAAUGGCUCAGGCUGUUUUAUUUCCUUGUUGAUAUCUCUGGUUUCCAAAGGCACAUUUUCUUUCUUUUACUUCAUAGGGACCAGCAGAAAAUUCCUUAAGAUUGAAUGAGUUGAUAGACCGGUUUCUCCAGUUUGCCUGAGUUACUGGGUGAAGAUUCCUUUCUUCUUAAGAUGAAAAGAGUUUGCUUUUACAUGUUCUUCAUAGGCCAAUGUUGACCAUAAAAAUAAAAGUCAGUUAUUCAACCAGCAAAUAUGUUUAUUCCGGGAUAGCGGAGGAAUUGCAAUUCGGGACAAACAAGCUAUAGCAAAAGCCAUAGGCAAGUCCAAUAAACAAAGGAGAAGAACAUUAUUUUAUAGGGAAAAAGGAGGGCACUGGGAGUUUUUUUUAAAUAAAUUUAUUUAUUCAGUUAAUUAAUUUUUGGCUGCACUGGGUCUUCGCUGCUGCA